rnacentral:lncRNA from 1 species
GCAUAUGCCCCAUGGCAGCUUCUCAUCAGAGGAGGUAUUAUUCCCCAUUCUCUGGGAGGCAGUGAGGAGCCCAGACUGCAUGACUGAUGUAGUCAUCAGGAAGUCUGGCCAGGGCCUCAACUCAAACAUAACUCAAGACAUACCUCAAAGAGCUCCACACUUUCCAUCUCCCCACCCAAUCGAGUGCCAACAUAAGGAAUGACCUAUUUUACAUGCUAAGCAGGAAGACAGCAGCUGUCAAACACAAAGCAAGAGUUAUUUUCUUUCUUGCUACAGCCCUAAAGGUGGUCAUAGUAUUCUAUGGAAAGUAUCAAGAAGUAUCUGUGGAAUGGUGUUAAUGCUGUAGUUUAAAUGAUAGAGCGUUGGUCAAAUAGGCAUGAAGCCCUGGGUUUAAUCUCCAGUACAAUAUAAAGCAGGCAUGGUGCUGUACAUCUGUCUUCAAUUAUUCAGGAAAUAGAGGCAGAAGAAUCCAAGUUCAAGGCCAUCCUCCCAUACAUUGUGAGUCACUGGCUGGAAAUAACAAAACAAAAAUUUUUAAAAGAAAGGAAGCAUUUGUAAAGUGCAUUCUGCAGGCAUAUGGCAGCUACAAAACACUAAUGCUCAGGACUCCUAGUUUUUCAUAUCAAUAGGUAAAAUGGGUGUGAAAACAGAAGUCAUGAAUCAAACUACCGGGGCUGGAAGACAUUUCCACUACUGAGUAGUUAUCUGAAAUCUCCCACUAGGGCUGGGUGUGGUGAUGGAGGCUAUCACGGGCUACAGUAAGUUCAAAACUAGGCAGGGAUACAUAGAAAGGCUCUAUUGCAACAAGAAAAGGAAAAGAAGAAAAUUGAGGAAGGCAGGUGGGAAGGGGGAAGGGAAUGAAGGAAAGAAGAGAAGGGGAGGAAUAAUAGGGGAAGAAUGUUUUAAAAAUAAACAAGGGAUGGGGAUUGUUAGAAAUAACUUUCAAGGAAAGAAACCACCAUUCCAACUGAAGUGUCUGGAAAAGGCAAACUUUACUCAUCAACAAGAGUGUGUGCUUAGAAGAGUAAAAAUAACGAGACAGGAAGUGCAUUUGGUUUCUAUUCUAACUCAAGUGGUGGCUCUGUCUUUUCCCCAUUGGCUGAGGUCCAAUCUCACAAUCUUAUUCAAUUGUCUAGUUUGAAAAGAUUUGUUGUGCAGGAAAUGACAGAGGAAGGGGGAUGGAGUCCCUGCCCCAAGGAGAAAAGGAUCACUGCUCUGAACCAUCAAACUCCUAGAAUAGAGCAGUUGGCCUUUGUGUAAAUGACAAUUUUUAAUGGGUGGGGAGAAUUAAAGCCUUGCAUAAAAGUCUUUCAAAGUGGGGGAGAUAAAAUAGUACUUGAUAGACAAGACUCAUAUUUGAUAUUUCUUAUAAGGAAUGAAAAAGAUAACGAGAAUUAGGAAAGGCCUCUUGGUACCGUGCAUUCUAGCCCACACUUUGAUUUUAGACUUUAAGCCUCUGCAACAUUAAGAACAUAAAAUUCCAGUUCUUUGUAAUAUGUUACAGCAGUUUCAGCACAAUAAUGAGCUUUUAUCACAAGAUAUUGGGAAGAUAAUAUUAGCUGGCUUCUGUCUAGUUGAGCAGACCUUAGAGCAGUACCCUCACGUCAACUCUGGCUCCUAUAGGAAAAGGACCUUGCUUGAGUACAUCGACGGUCUCACUGUUAGAGCUCUUUCUAUGGAGAAAUCAUGGUGCCAGUGAAAAGAGUGUGAGUGUCUGCUUAAAAAGUCAGUCUUCAUCCUUGUCAUCAUCAUCUUCUUCUCCUCUUCCUCCUUCUUAUCUUUUAGUUUUCUUCCUUUUCUUCCUCCUCUUCCCCUUCAUCUUCCUCUUUUUCUUGUGUGUGUGUGUGUGUGUGUGUGUGUGUGUGUGUGUUUAGUGCCCAAGGAGGACAGAAGAUGACAUCAUAUCCCAUGGAAUUGGACAUGCAGUAAGUUGUGUGCCACCCAGCAUGGGUGCUGGGAACAGACAUGAGAACUUCUAGAAAGGUAUCAAGCACUCAUAACUGCUGAACCAUCUCUCUAGAUACAAGAUGUUUUCUAGAUCUCAGGAAAUACUUGGAGAAAGCCAGUCAUGGUGGCAUAAGCUGUAAUCUUUUUUUUUCUUUUUCUGAGCCUUUGUAUAAAGCCCCUUUAAUAAAAAUCAAACAUACAGUCAAUAUAAUCUGUUGAUUUGAUUUUGGGUAAAUAGUUCUUCUAACAUAUACAAAAUACAUGAUCUGGUAGAGUUUAUUCAGAACCUCUGCGCCAUAAUAACCUACCUGUGCAUUAACAUGAUAGUAAGCCAAAGGCUGUUCUAGAUAAGCUAUAAUCUUAGCCUUUUGGAUAUAAAGGCAGGGAUCGGGAGUCUGAGGACACCCUCCUUGUCUCUACAACAAGUUCAAGGCUAGCUUGGAAUAUAUGAAAUCCUAUCAAAAUAAAAUAAAAUAAAAUAAAGAAAAACAAAUAGUAAGUGAGAAAGAGGUUCUCUCACCAUGCUGGCUUCCCUAACACUUGUAUUAUUAUUACUUUUCUUUUGGAUCCCAAGGGCUUGUUGUUGAAAUAUACAUGAUAAACUGUCAUUUUAAAGAAAUGAUAGCCAAGCCAGACAUGGUGGUGUAUGCCCCUAAUCCCAUAACAUGGGAGGCAGAGGAAAACAGAUCUCUGAAUGUGAACCUAGACUAUUCUACAUAUUGAGCACCAAGCCAGCCAGAACUACAUAUAGUGAGACACUGUCUC